rnacentral:misc_RNA from 1 species
GAUGAAGAACGUAGCGAAAUUCGAUAAGUAAUGUGAAUUGCAGAAUUCAGUGAAUCAUCGAAUCUUUGAACGCACAUUGCGCCCGUCAGUAUUCUGGCGGGCAUGCCUGUUCGAGCGUCAUUACGCCCCUCAAGUCCCCUGUGGACUUGGUGUUGGGGAUCGGCGAGGCUGGUUUUCCAGCACAGCCGUCCCUUAAAUUAAUUGGCGGUCUCGCCGUGGCCCUCCUCUGCGCAGUAGUAAAACACUCGCAACAGGAGCCCGGCGCGGUCCACUGCCGUAAAACCCCCCAACUUUUUAUAGUUGACCUCGAAUCAGGUAGGACUACCCGCUGAACUUAAGCAUAUCAAUAAGCGGAGGA